rnacentral:rRNA from 1 species
UGGGGUGCUCGAGUGGCGAACGGGUGAGUAACACGUGAGUAACCUGCCCUUGACUUUGGGAUAACUUCAGGAAACUGGGGCUAAUACCGGAUAGGAGCCCCUGCUGCAUGGUGGGGGUUGGAAAGUUUCGGCGGUUGGGGAUGGACUCGCGGCUUAUCAGCUUGUUGGUGGGGUAGUGGCUUACCAAGGCUUUGACGGGUAGCCGGCCUGAGAGGGUGACCGGCCACAUUGGGACUGAGAUACGGCCCAG